AUGUCUGUCGACCGCGGAGGCGCUGGUGCCGUGCUGAGAGCGGCUGCCUAUGCCCCCCGAGCGGGGCUGGAACUCUUCCAAGACGCCCACGUUCGCACAGAGACCCCGGAUCGCGGAAGCUCGCGUCUCGAAAGGCGGUCUCACGCCCUGCCCGUCCUGGGUUCACGGUUUUUCAUCACCUGCGGCUGUCCUGCGAUCGACCACAGCUGUGCAGGAGGUAUCUGUUGCUGCAGUUACCGGAACCUUUGCCAGGACUAGUACAGGACCACGAGUGAGGAUGGUGGGGAAGCCUGCGUGGGGCAGGGAACGGUGAGGCAGGAGGAAGAGGGAAGGGCAGCAGAGGCCUGAGUGGUUGCAGGUUCACACACUGAGCUGCCAGUGACUGCCCAGCUCAAACGGGCUCAAAUUCAGAAGCUACCAUUGCUCCUCACUCCCACCCCCAGGUCAGCUGUCCACUAGCUCUGCCAUGACUUGAUACUGCAGCUCAAACAGUGCCAACCAAAACCCACUCUCCUCACCGCCUGUUAUGGGUAACACGGUAUGGUUACAGCUUUACUCAUGUCCUCUGUCCCCAGGCUG
rnacentral:antisense_RNA from 1 species